AGAUAUAAAUGCAAAACAGAAAUAGUUUUGACGUCAAAUUACGUUUAUUUCCGCUAUCUACUUUUGCACAAUGAAAUUCUAGGACUUAGUAAUGAAAAAAAAUCCGCCAAUGAGUCCGCAAGGACUAGACUGCUCAUUAGAAGGGCGUAUAAGCACUUAUGCAUAAACAUCAUGAACUUGCUGAGAAUGAGAAUGAGAAUGAGAAUGCUCUUGGUUCAGUACUGGACGUUUGUAAAUGCUACUAUUGAUAAAGGCUACUCACAGA
rnacentral:lncRNA from 1 species